CCGCAGCAGCAGCGGCUCCAGGAUGGUGAGCGCCACUGCCCCCCAGCCCAGGCCUGUCGCCCCCGGCCCGCGCCGCCGCCCCGGUCCCCGGGCCGGACGCGCCCCCAGGCCGCGCACACUCACCUAGGACCCGGCCGUGAUGCCGAGCUCUGUUGAAGAUGCACUGGACACCAGAACACGCCCAGCCCCUCAACCAGUGGCCAGAGCAGCACCUGGACGUCUCCUCCACCACCCCGUCGCCGGCCCACAAGUUGGAGUUGCCCCCUGGGGGUCGCCAACGCUGCCACUACGCUUGGGCACACGACGACAUCUCAGCCCUCACUGCCUCCAACCUCCUAAAGCGCUAUGCAGAGAAGUACUCUGGGGUCUUGGAUUCUCCCUACGAGCGUCCGGCCCUGGGCGGGUACAGCGACGCCUCCUUCCUCAACGGCGCCAAAGGGGAUCCCGAGCCCUGGCCAGGGCCGGAGCCACCCUACCCCUUGGCCUCACUCCACGAAGGCCUCCCAGGAACCAAAUCGGGCGGUGGCGGCGGUUCCGGGGCCCUGGGGGGCUCCCCAGUUUUAGCCGGGAACCUCCCUGAACCCCUCUACGCCGGCAAUGCGUGCGGGGG
rnacentral:lncRNA from 1 species